CCUGAACGCUGGCGGCGUGGCUAAGACAUGCAAGUCGCACGGGGUAGCAAUACCCAGUGGCGAACGGGAGAGUAAUGAAUCGCUAAUGUACCCCGACGUCUGGGAGUAGCUACCCGAAACGGGUAAGGGUAAUACCAGAUGACAUAACUUACAGGCAUCUGUGAGUUCUUCAAAGGUACCGCCGGUCUGGAGGCAGGCGAUUUCGUUAUCAGCUAGUUGGUGAGGUAACGGCUCACCAAGGCGACGACGCGUAGCCGGACUGAGAGGUUGGCCGGCCUCAUUGGGACUGAGACACGGCCCAGACUCCUACGGGAGGCAGCAGUGGGGAAUCUUGCGCAAUGGGCGAAAGCCUGACGCAGCGACGCCGCGUGAGGGAU
rnacentral:rRNA from 1 species